ACGGAGGAUGCGAGCGUUAUCCGGAUUUAUUGGGUUUAAAGGGUGCGUAGGCCGAUCGAUAAGUCAGCGGUGAAAUACCAUGGCCCAACCAUGGAACUGCCGUUGAUACUGUCGGUCUUGAAUAUGGUCAAGGUAGGCGGAAUGUGUAAUGUAGCGGUGAAAUGCUUAGAUAUUACACAGAACACCGAUUGCGAAGGCAGCUUACUGGUCCAUUAUUGACGCUGAGGCACGAAAGCGUGGGGAUCGAACAG
rnacentral:rRNA from 1 species